GAUUGGUUAACGCGACUUAACAUUGAAAUCAUUUGCGCCAGACACUCUAUUCGCGUUUGGUGUGAACGCAGCAUAAUAAUAUUUGCUCUUUACAACAUAAAGACAUCUAUUCCAACUAAAAGAGUCUCACAUUGUCCUGGUCUGAUGUGUCGGCAUGAACUUCACUACUCUUCCUUCUCUCCUGUGCAGGUCUAGCAGGCAUGGACUUCACUGACUUCUCCAUAUUCUCCUUUUCUUGACCUGCAGUUCUGGGCUCCAGUGAUGAGCCUCUCUGGGCUGUACGGCCGUCUGUACCCUGCUGCUCCCUCACCACCUCCUCCAAUCUCUGAGUGAGCUGGGUGUGCAGCUGCUUCUGGGUCAGGGCUCUGGAUGCACACUGUGCUGGGGACAGACGCUGAGGAGGGGGAUGAGAACUACCAUCUGGAGAUGAUUACACAGAAUGCAAGGUUGGGAGUCUGGGACUAUGCUGUUAUCUUUUACACAAAGAAACAAAAUAAAGUUAAAAGCAUUCAAAUGUUAAAAUUGCAAUGGAAUUUUUCUUAGUAUGCUUCAUAUAAUACCAAAAGUGUCCUCUUCAUGGUCAGCUUGCACCAUCUGUACUACUUUGUCUAUAGGAAUGUGCUGCAAAAAAUAUAUUUUUUUAUAGGGUAAGAUAAGCCAAUAAGAGAAAAAAGAAGGUAGCAAAAACAAGAAAACAAAAUAAACGAAUAUGUCUUAUAUAGUUUAAUAAAUAUAACUUAACUAAUAUAUAUAUAUAUAUAUAUAUAAUAUAUAUGAAUUAAGAGCACCUUGUGGUACUUCUUUUCUUUAGCCUUCAUGCCCUGGAUUUUCUGUUGUUCUUCAUUAUGAGCAGCAGGGGUCGACUAACAAGACAAACAGAAUUCACUGAGAUUAAAUUCCAUUAAGCUGUUCAACACAAAUCAGUAAAGACUAAUCAGUAUAUUGCUUCAUUAAUGUACCAGUGUUUCAUAAACCCUAUUCUCCAUUUGUUUUUAUCAGUAUAAACUUGAAUUUGAAGUGACACUUUCUACAGAGGUUAUACCUGUGCUUGAAUUGCAUGGGCCUUCUUUUGGUUCUUCUCGCACUGAAUACUAAGAGAACGCACACUGGAAGAUGUUUUAGACAUCAUGAGUUCUCUAAGUUCAAUCUCCUUCCUCCUCUCUGAAGAGCUCAUCAUCUGAAGAGCUGGUUUCACCAUUAGCUUUGACACUACAAAAAAGUAGUUACAAAACUUUAUAUUGCUCAUAAAAAUGACAUAAAAAUCUACAGAUGGCAUUUCACCACAAGCAAGAGAUAAUCUUUACAACAAACCUUAUAACAAACUGGGGGGCAAUUCAAGAUUAUUGUGUGGUAAUCAACAACAGAGCUGAGAUUGCUUACACUCUUGCAGUGGAAAACUACAGAGCUAUCUCUGAUAUUCUACAAGAAUGGAUUCUUUACU
rnacentral:lncRNA from 1 species